rnacentral:lncRNA from 1 species
GUGCUAAUCCAUUGCCAUAGCCAGCCAGACCAUUGUUGUAACCACCAUAGGCAGGAUAGUUCAUUGGAGCAGGUGGGUAAGAUGCACCAAGAGCAGCAGGUGCUACCUCCUCAGUCGGAAAUGCAUAUGGGUCCCUAAUAGUUGGUGGGCUUCGGCUGCCAUAGACCCCAUGUCCGGCUGGCCUAUCAUAAGGAUAAGGAGGGGCAGCAGCUGGAUAAGUCGAAUGGGCUGAUGGCGAUCGCACAAAUGUCGUAGCAGCAGGGAAAGAUGACACAUAGGCAUUGUUUGUUAGCCGACCAGCCUUGGCUGGAGGCAUUGGCCCCCCAUUAUUGGCUCUUGUGCGCUUGUUGGCCGGACCACA